rnacentral:tRNA from 1 species
GGAGAGAUGGCUCAGUGGUUAAGAGCACUGACUGUUCUUCCAGAGGUCCUGAGUUCAAUUCUCAGUAACCACA